rnacentral:rRNA from 1 species
UAUAAAGACCAAGUAGGAUGAAACUGCGGACGGCUCAUUAUAACAGUAAUAGUUUCUUUGGUUAGUAAAGUACAAGGAUAGCUUUGUGAAUGAUAAAGAUAAUACUUGAGACGAUCCAAUUUGUAUUAGUACAAAGUGGCCAAUUUAUGUAAGUAAAUUGAGAAAUGACAUUCUAAGUGAGUUAGGAUGCCACGACAAUUGUAGAACACACAGUGUUUAACAAGUAACCAAUGAGAAUUUCUGAUCUAUCAAUCAGUUGGUAGUAUCGAGGACUACCAAGAUUAUAACGGAUAACGAGGAAUUGGGGUUCGACAUCGGAGAGGGAGCUUUACAGAUGGCUACCACUUCUAAGGAAGGCAGCAGGCGCGUAAAUUACCCACUUUCGAAUUGAAGAGGUAGUGACGACACAUAACUCUAGAGUUGAGUAAAAUCAAUUCUUGAAGGAAUGAGUAGGAGGUAAAUUCUCCUACGAAAUCAAUUGGAGGGCAAGUCUGGUGCCAGCAGCCGCGGUAAUUC